rnacentral:lncRNA from 1 species
GGUUUGAUUUCAGGAGGAGCAUCUAAGUGUGCCUAUCAAAGCACCUCCAUUUGCAACUCAGCACUUCGUCCCACUUGGUUGCUUUAAACAGGUAUGGCCCUGUCCUUCAUGCUAAAGUGUACAAAGUGUAGCCCAGAGUGAGAAUGGAAGUGGAAAGAGCCUCUCGUUAUGCUAGGAACGGUUAGGAAUAAAAGGUGCAGUAGGAAUGUAUGGUGGAGAUCAUUAUCGCUUAUCUCUAACUGCCAAACACUCUCAGCUGUCGGUCCCACUGAGCCUCUCCGUUAAAAGUAUCGUUAUUGCUUGCUGUCCAUCUGAGAUCAAACCAGUCCACCGUCUAUAACUUCUCUCUCUACAUUUAUUUUGCUUUGAAAGUAAAGCAAAAUCAUCCAUCUGCAGUAUAUUGCCAUCAAUAUUUCCAGCAUCUUGCAUUAGCCAAAACAAUCAUUUGACAGUUAGGGAAGGUGAUUAUUACUUAGUGCCUCUUUACUCACUACUACAUUCCUCCAAGCUCAGCUGUAUGCAUUAAAUUAAAUGGGGAAAAAUAACAACUUUAAGAAGAAAGAUCACAUGUCAUAAGAAGCUGAAUUUGAGGAGUUUAACUUCCUACAGGGAGUUAUACAGCAAAAAUAUAUAUACAUUCUAGCUGCUUGCUAUGCUGUUAAACUCUGCACAUUUUUGCAGGUACCUGGUUUUACAUGGUGCCAUCCAGGAGUGCGAUGCUGUAGCUGGCAGAAAUGACAUUCGCAAUGGGAGAUAAGAGACCAGACUUCCUUAAAGCAGACUUCCCAGUGGCUUCCUUCCCCAGCUGGCUGUGCUGGCAAUGGCUCAGCAGGACACGAGGAGGAAUUUGGCCUUGUACCUACCCCUGUAAGUCUGUAAUUUUGUUGUUGUUGUUCUUUUGUACCUGAAGCAUUCUGGAAAAAUGCUGAUAUCUUGGCAAAUAUCUGGACAUCUUUGCUGUUAAGAGAGCAGUGAUUAAUGUGCUUUUUUGUUCUCUGAUUAAAUUAAAACAUGUAUUCUAACAUGUCUUGGAGACAUUUAUAAUUGUCCUUGUGUAGCCCAGCUUAUCAGGACACAGUAGCAGGUGUUGUCAGCUCCGCCAGCCAGGAUUUUCAAUCCUGCAUGCCAGCCUCUCUGCUGAAGGCCAAGGCCCAGAUGCCGCAGCCCUUUGCUCACACUAAGCAGCAUUUCCACCAGCAGCCCAAUUGCCCAGGAGGAUGUUCAAUGGUUCCUGGGGACCACAACACAGCUGGGGUGGGCUGAGCAGCAGUGCUGGACAUGCCAUCUCACAAAGGUCUCUUUGCAUUAACCUGCCUGGCUGCACUGCAGAUUGGGAAAGGUGGCUUUUCAGAUUUCUCCAGAUCUGACAGCACUUGAAACAAACUUUACCGACUUUAUCUUAAAUAGAGCUUUUUGCUGGUUUAUCUCAAAGUGUGUUGCAGAGCAGGGCAGUAGCAGUGAUGAUGUAAGAAGAGAGUGCUGUUUCUGUGAAGAGCCCAUUCUGUUGCCCUGUGAAGAGCCCACUCUCCUCUCAGUGUAACCCCAAGCAAAGUGUCCCCUCCAUUCACCUCUCUUCUCAGAGGGGUACUUGAAUGUAGGGGCUUGAGUAGGUUGUCAUCACCGAGGUCGCUGCCUCCACAGUGUGCCCUGACCCUUGCUGCCCUGCCUCCAAUUCAGGCAACUUAGUCCUCAGGGCUGAUCUGGUGGCCACUCUUUAUCCAGAGCUAAGAUUAGCUUUUUGCUAAGGAGUUGCUUUUGCUUCUUCUCUUUCUCUGGUGAAUCUUAAGCAAGUAGUGCACUGUCACUGUUGUCAGCCCCUUUCUUGCUAAUGUGACAGGAGAACCUUCCCCUCUGAAGAAACCCUUACAGACCUGGAGGUCAUCGUUUGACUAGAACAAAGUUGAAAUAGGUUUCCUUUGUACUUUUGCCACCUUUAUACGAAGAAUAAAGAAAAAGCUGAUCAAGAGCA